AUUGAACGCUGGCGGCAGGCUUAACACAUGCAAGUCGAGCGGGGUGAUGGUGCUUGCACUAUCACUUAGCGGCGGACGGGUGAGUAAUGCUUAGGAAUCUGCCUAUUAGUGGGGGACAACAUCUCGAAAGGGAUGCUAAUACCGCAUACGUCCUACGGGAGAAAGCAGGGGAUCACUUGUGACCUUGCGCUAAUAGAUGAGCCUAAGUCGGAUUAGCUAGUUGGUGGGGUAAAGGCCUACCAAGGCGACGAUCUGUAGCGGGUCUGAGAGGAGGAUCCGCCACACUGGGACUGAGACACGGCCCAGACUCCUACGGGAGGCAGCAGUGGGGAAUAUUGGACAAUGGGGGGAACCCUGAUCCAGCCAUGCCGCGUGUGUGAAGAAGGCCUUAUGGUUGUAAAGCACUUUAAGCGAGGAGGAGGCUCUUUUGGUUAAUACCCAAGAUGAGUGGAUGUUACUCGCAGAAUAAGCACCGGCCAACUCUGUGCCAGCCGCCGCCGUAA
rnacentral:rRNA from 1 species